rnacentral:lncRNA from 1 species
UACAUCCUGUGAGUUUGGACAAAGCUAUAGUAACAUACGCCCACCCCUGAGGCCCCUGCUUGAGGGAAGUCUAAUCUCUGCCUGCCCCUCUGUCCUUCCCUAACCCUGACAACCACCAUUUGUAGCUUCUUUACUCACUCAUGUGAUAAAAAAGGCUCUGGUGGAAAAAACUUGAAGGAGAAAGGACUUGUUUUGGCCCACAGCUCGAGGGGACAUCAAUCAGGUCAGAAAGGUCGAGGCGGCAGGAAAGGUCGAGGCGGCAGGAACUUGAAGCGGUUGGUCUUGUGACACCCACAGUGAGGAAGCACAGAGUGAUAAGCUCUGCUGCCACCCUAUCCAGCCCACCUCAGAUAAAGUCAGAUAGUCAAGAUGGCCGCCCAUAGGCCUGCCUGGAGCCCAUCUCCCGGGUGGUCCUAGAUUCUGUCAAGAACCAUGCCAACUCCCAGAGCUGUUCAAAGCCCACCGCCCAGAAGAAGAGGCAGUAUGGACUGCAGUGUGCCAUGAGACAGGAAGUGGCUCCUCAGCAAACCUGAACAUUCGCAGAGGCAGGAGGGUCAUGCAGCUAUGGCCGGGAGAGUGGUUUCAGAGCUGUGUCACCACUAUUCAAGAACUCACAAUAGAAGAUGCAGACACACACCUGCCAGGCAGGGAGCCAUGUCCGGGACCCCAAGGCCAAGUGAAUAGCUUCAGGAAGAUUUCACUUUCUGAGGAGCUCAGAUAGUAGUGCGGUGUGGCAGACGCUCACCUGGCUGCCUGCUCUGUGGCCCAGGCUCUGUGACCUCAGUCCAGCAAGGGCAGAGUGUGGAAUGCCACUCGGCCGUGGGAGUUUGGGAACCUUGAGAAAAAUGGUACCCAAGCUUUGUGACAGUCUACAGCUCAUCAGGCAAGUACUUCACAGACCGAGCCAGUGUCUUAGCCUUCGUCCCAUCCUCCAGCUACGUGGUGUGGAGACCAUGAUCCUAAUAUGUGUGCAUGCACUUAUUUUUAAUGAACCACACAUGAACAAACGCACCAAAAUAUCACACGGGCUGUGAGGCAAAGGAAAUGAAGGCACCGUUCACAUUCUAAAAA